UACGUAGGGUGCGAGCGUUGUCCGGAAUUAUUGGGCGUAAAGGGCUCGUAGGCGGUCUGUUGCAUCAGGAGUGAAAACUCGGGGCUUAACCCCGAGCCUGCUUCUGAUACGGGCAGACUAGAGGUAUGCAGGGGAGAACGGAAUUCCUGGUGUAGCGGUGAAAUGCGCAGAUAUCAGGAGGAACACCGGUGGCGAAGGCGGUUCUCUGGGCAUUACCUGACGCUGAGGAGCGAAAGUGUGGGGAGCGAACAGG
rnacentral:rRNA from 1 species